CAAAGUUGCUUAGAUCACCUUUCUUUCCCAUUCUGACAUUCAGUUUGGAGUUCAGGAGAUUGACUAGACCUGGACCACACCCCUAAAUGCAUUGAAGCAGCUGCCAUGUGAUUGGUUGAUGAGAUAAUUUCAUUAACGUGAAAUUUAACAGGUCCUAGUAAUCCUUUAUGUGAGUGUGUGUGUGUGUAUAUAUAUAUAUA